UCGACGAUGAACCACCUUCGGGUGGGGAUUAGUGGCGAACGGGUGAGUAACACGUGGGCAAUCUGCCCUUCACUCUGGGACAAGCCCUGGAAACGGGGUCUAAUACCGGAUACUGACCUGCCAAGGCAUCUUGGCGGGUCGAAAGCUCCGGCGGUGAAGGAUGAGCCCGCGGCCUAUCAGCUUGUUGGUGAGGUAAUGGCUCACCAAGGCGACGACGGGUAGCCGGCCUGAGAGGGCGACCGGCCACACUGGGACUGAGACACGGCCCAGACUCCUACGGGAGGCAGCAGUGGGGAAUAUUGCACAAUGGGCGAAAGCCUGAUGCAGCGACGCCGCGUGAGGGAUGACGGCCUUCGGGUUGUAAACCUCUUUCAGCAGGGAAGAAGCGAAAGUGACGGUACCUGCAGAAGAAGCGCCGGCUAACUACGUGCCAGCAGCCGCGGUAAUACGUAGGGCGCAAGCGUUGUCCGGAAUUAUUGGGCGUAAAGAGCUCGUAGGCGGCUUGUCACGUCGGUUGUGAAAGCCCGGGGCUUAACCCCGGGUCUGCAGUCGAUACGGGCAGGCUAGAGUUCGGUAGGGGAGAUCGGAAUUCCUGGUGUAGCGGUGAAAUGCGCAGAUAUCAGGAGGAACACCGGUGGCGAAGGCGGAUCUCUGGGCCGAUACUGACGCUGAGGAGCGAAAGCGUGGGGAGCGAACAGGA
rnacentral:rRNA from 1 species